rnacentral:rRNA from 1 species
UACAGAGGUCCCGAGCGUUGUUCGGAUUCACUGGGCGUAAAGGGUGCGUAGGUGGUGAGGUAAGUCGGAUGUGAAACCUCCGGGCUCAACCCGGAAAUGGCAUUGGAAACUACCUUGCUGGAGGAUUUGAGGGGGGAUUGGAAUACUUGGUGUAGCAGUGAAAUGCGUAGAUAUCAAGUGGAACACCAGUGGCGAAGGCGAAUCCCUGGAAAAUACCUGACACUGAGGCACGAAAGCUAGGGGAGCAAACAGG